rnacentral:lncRNA from 1 species
UGAAUGGAGCCCCCAUCACAAAACAGUGCCCAGGAGGCUGGCUCCUCAAGCUACCCAUGCCCAGCGCCCUAAAGCAGCACCAGAUGCUUUGGAAUUGGGGUGAAACACCCACAUGGCAGCCUGCUAGCAGCAGUGACUUUGACUUCUGGUCUUAAAGAGUCCCUCACUUCAGCCCCAGGAGCUAUUGUGUGUGUUUGGCUCCGCCUCUCUCCAUGUCUUCUCACAAGACUUUCAAGAUUAAGCAAUUCCUGGCCAAGAAACAAAAGCAAAAUCGUCCCAUUCCCCAGUGGAUUCGGAUGAAAACUGGUAAUAAAAUCAGGUACAACUCCAAGAGGAGACAUUGGAAAAGAACCAAGCUAGGUCUGUAAGGAAUUGAACAUGAGAUGGCACACAUAUUUAUGCUGUCUAAAGGUCACAAUCAUGUUACCAUAUCAAGCUGAAAAUGUCAC